CAGGAGAAAGAGAGAGACCUCCUCGGCCAGCCACCCCCGGGAACGGGAAGCGGUGCGGAUUCACUUCCUGCUCUGUGCCCAACACAGGCACCAGCACCUGCGGCCACCGCCCUUGCUCACCACAGCCCUGAAGCAGAGAUGAUCCUGACCAUUCUGCAGAUGAGAAAAUAGCUCAGAAGAAUCAUGUGACUCGCCCACAGUCGCACUGCCAGGAAGAGAUGGAGCUUAAAAUCAGGUCAGCGCUGGGGCAGCGGGGAUUUUAGCCAGAUGCCCAGGAAAUCCCCCAAACAGGUGGAGGAGAGAGCUUGAUCCUAGCCCUUCCCAGGAGGCUGUUGGGCAAAAGGACUGGGCAAGUGGGCUGAGGGCAGGGGACUGGACCUAUUGACCUCCAGAAUCCACCCAGCUGUGCUGUUUGGGAACUGGUGGGCAAGUUCCAUCAGCCUCCAGGAGGGUGGGCUGGGGAAGAGGUGGGGCAGCCUGGGAAUGCCCAGAGAUGCUCUGACCAUUGGGGUCCCCCAGGACACCAGGGGUGUGGUCAGGCAGCUCUGACUUUCUGGGGCCACCAACAGAGACCUGAGUGCCCAGGUCCCAGUAGAAAGGGGGCUGGAAGGGAGGCAAAAGUGAGGGGAGGCUCUCUCUUCCAGCAGCCAACUAGCCUGUGGGGAGCCGGGUCCUGUGGUUUUGACAGCAGCGACACGAGCUCGUCCAGAAUCUCUGUCUUGCGCGAGGUAAUUACAGUUCUUCCCGUGUAAUGAGAUGGUUUUUAAAGGCCAUUCAAAAGAAAUUUCCCAUAAUGAGGUGAGGGGGUUUACGGUGUUAGACAUCAAGGCGGUUGGUAAUUGGUGGGACCCAGGCUGAGUCCUGGAGGGAAGCGAUGGGAAUUUGCGCAUCUAUAAGGAGCGAGAGAAGAGCAGGCGACGGCCGAGGAGGGAGGACGGCAACUUGGCCUGAAAAGUUUCUGCCGACAUCAGCAGUCCAGUGGGCCCUGAAGAGUGGCCAAGGGCACGGGGAGGCUGGGUCCCUGCUGGACAGAGGAGGCUGCUGGAACUGAGUGGGGCAGGGGCAGAGGGAAGACCGACGGGAUGGAAGUCUGUAAACAAAGGUGCUGGGGUGAAGAGUUUUCCCAAUCUGUGCUGACAUAACUAGACACUGGGACGGGGACUGGUGUCCUUAGAAGAGGUAAAUUUGCUCAGAGACACACACGGGUGAGAGAAGCCACGUGAAGAUGGAUGCAGAGGCUGGAGUGAUAGCCACAGAUUGCCACCACCAGAGGCUGGAAGAGGAGAGGAAAGAACCUCCCCUAGAGCCUUCAGAGAGAGUGUGGCCAGGCCGCCAUCUUGAAUCUAGACUUCUAGCCUCCAAAAGUGUGAGGAGUGAAUUCUGUUGUUUUAAACUCCCGGGUUUGUGGUCAUUUAUUCAACUGUGAUUUAAUGUCUUAGAAGGCAGAGAAAAAUCCAGUCUCCCUGGACCCAGCUGCUGCAGACUACAAUAACAUCGCUACUAAAGGGCCUUCCCGAUGUCUCCUGAAUCUUUGAAGUGGCACUGCAGGCCCACUGCCCUGACGGGUGUGCCCUGGUAGAGUCACCAGGAGCCUCUCAGACAGCACUUGACUGAGAGAUGCUGCACUGGUCAACCAGACCCUAUGGAGCACUUUCUGUGUGUGCCAGGAGGGCGGGGAGAAAGCCUGGGGGAGGGCAGGAGCUCACAUCUCCUAAGAGACGAGUCCCCGAAGAGCACAGCACUCAGGGAGACAUCCUUGGGAAUCCCCAGACCAAGACUGACCUCUGGCUGAGCAUUCCAGUCCCCCUUAGGAGGACAGAGGGAGAUGGCAAUGCCCAAGAGAGUUGGCCUAAGAUGGGCACCCAGGGGCUGGAGCGGUCAGCCCCAAGGUCAGGAAGGAGGAGAAGGCAGCCCAGAAACAGCAGCUCCUCUUGCCCCUUCUGGGUCAGGCCGAUCACCACACAGGGUCUCCUGCCCGAGGAGCUGGAGACCCGCGCAGAGGCACUAAGCAAGAGCGCGAGGCAGGCUGCCAGCCGGGGCAGCCUGGCUCUAAAUGCUGGUUAAUUGGCGCUGAGUGGCCGAGGGAUGUGAGGAGAUGACUUUGAAGUCACCUGGUGUGAUGUGUCCAGCAGGAACAAUGGGCCACCCAGCUAGCAGAGAGUCACGCUUCCUUCUAAUUAGGUGCCGCUUUGAACACGGAGGCAUCAGAUUAAUGAGGCUUACAGCGCUCACCCGCGCAGCGUGGCGGGCUGCCUCUGUUCUGUGAUCGCAGUCUGUUGCCAAAACCUUGUUCUCUAAAUCAAAGUUUCUCCUGAAACUCUGCUUUGGGUUUGCACUGGCGCCAGCCAGAGAGCUAAGCCUCACCUCCCUUCCUUUACUUUACAUACAUUCCAGCUUUUUUUUUUUUUCUCCCUCUCUGGAAAAGACUUGCAGGGUGGGGACACCUCCUGCAGACCAGCUGGGGGCAGGAAGGGCUGGGUGGCCCCCACUUUGUGGAGCACGCUGGCUCAGGGCACAGGCGAGCUGGCCCACCACACCCAGGCCCGCAGGCCCCUCCAGCUCCGCUCUUGGCAGCUUGGGGGCGGGCCAGGCCUUAGAGGAUCC
rnacentral:lncRNA from 1 species